GCCGGAGUAAAUGAUGACGUUACUUUUUUCCCCAUCAGAUCGAUAAUGAUGAUUUUCUUUGCGCAUUUGCCAGUUUAGUUCUGAUAACGCCGGC